AGAACACUUCUUUCGUUCUUUAACGUUGAUCAAGUUUUUUUUUUAAAAAAGAUUAAGUUUUUUGUUUUAUAUGUCGCCGGUGGUGCGAAUUCCUCGGAAUUUUAGAUUAUUAGAAGAACUUGAAAAAGGUGAAAAGGGUUUUAGUGAUGGCUCUGUGAGUUAUGGUUUAGAUUCUCCCUCUGACACACUUCUCGAAAACUGGACUGGGACUAUUGUGGGUCCUUCUAACGGAAAUUUUGCGAAUAGGAUUUACAAUAUAAAAAUUUACUGCGGAUUAGCGUAUCCCGAGGAAGCUCCCACAGUCCAUUUUAUAUCUAAAAUUAAUCUUCCUUUCGUAGAUGAUAAUGGAAAAGUACUUCCAGAAAAAUUUAAACCUUUGGGCAAUUGGAAUCCACAGUAUACUAUAGAAAAAAUAUUAACAUCUUUAAGAAGAGAUAUGGAGAGUAGUCUUUACUCAAAUUUAAAACAACCACCGGAAUUCGCUACCUAUUGAAUUCAUUUUUAAUUUUUUAAGCGUU